rnacentral:piRNA from 1 species
UCUAAUGUCAGGAAAAAAAGAAGGCUGGUUGG